AGGAAACUCCAGACAGCUGCUGCAGAAGAACAGAAUCCACAGAAUGCUGCCUCAGAUGAAUUGAACUACGCAGCGGUUACAUUUCAACCUCAGGCAAGAAGAAGAGAACCAGAGCCCAACGUCGUUUAUGCCGCCACCAGAUAGAAA